GACGAACGCUGGCGGCGUGCUUAACACAUGCAAGUCGAGCGGUAAGGCCCUUUCGGGGGUACGACGAGCGGCGAACGGGUGAGUAACACGUGGGUGACCUGCCCUCAGCUCUGGGAUAAGCCUGGGAAACUGGGUCUAAUACUGGAUAUGACUCCACGGUGCAUGUCGUGGGGUGGAAAGCCUUGUGCGGCUGAGGAUGGGCCCGCGGCCUAUCAGCUUGUUGGUGGGGUGANGGCCUACCAAGGCGACGACGGGUAGCCGGCCUGAGAGGGCGACCGGCCACACUGGGACUGAGACACGGCCCAGACUCCUACGGGAGGCAGCAGUGGGGAAUCUUGCGCAAUGGGCGAAAGCCUGACGCAGCGACGCCGCGUGAGGGAUGACGGCCUCGGUGU
rnacentral:rRNA from 1 species